AGAUGCCGUAAGCAAUAAUAAUACACUCAAGCCCACACGCAACCUCCCCUGUCUUCUCUCUCUUCUAUUUUCCUUCUAUUCUUUCGCUUCCCUGCAACACCUCGCAGCCCUCUUCACGACAUUCAAAGUUCUCUUGUAAGUCCUUUUUUAACUCCUUUCUCUUUCAUUUUAACUUUUCGGUUCCUUUUGUUGUUUCGAUUUGCCCAUGAUCUGAGUGAAGAAGGUUGCAUCUCUUUGCGCGUGUCCCGUUCUCUUCUCCAGUCCUCCACACUUUCAGUCGGAAAAUACCAAAAAAUUUAUAACCUGAAAACAUAUAUUACUUAUAAACUCGUAUAUACAGUUUUAUAUUUGCCCAAAUGGAGGUGAAGCUAUGGAAUGACAAGCGCGAGAGAGAAAUGUAUGAGAACUUUGCUGAGCUUUAUGCUAUAAUCAAGGCUACCGAAAAGCUUGAAAAGGCUUAUAUUCGUGAUAUUGUGAGUUCAAAUGAAUAUGAAGCUGAAUGCCAAAAACUCAUUGCUCAUUUUAAAACCCUAGCCUCUACAUUGAAAGAUACUGUCCCGAGCAUUGAACGGUUUGCAGAUACGUAUAAAAUGGACUGCCCGGCUGCUCUGAAUCGCCUAGUUACUGUUGGGGUGCCUGCUACAGUUGAGCAUAGAGCUGCAGCAGCUGCAUCGACUGCCAGCUCUGCUGCCAUUGUUGCAGAAUGUGUCCAGCAUUUCAUAACCGCAAUGGACACAUUAAAAUUGGAAUUUAAGGCAGUUGAUCAGGUGUAUCCACUGUUAUCUGAUCUUUUGGGUUCGCUUAAUAAGUUGAGUAUUUUGCCCCCGGACUUUGAGGGGAAGACCAAGAUGAAGGAGUGGAUUUCAAGGUUGUCGAAAAUGGGGGCUGCAGAUGAGUUGACAGAUCAGCAGGCACGGCAGCUACACUUUGAUCUGGAUUCUUCAUACAAUUCAUUUAUGGCUGCUUUGCCUAAUGCCGGUACUUGAUUGAUUAUUUGGAGCUUAAUCCCAAAUGAAAUCUGACUUUGUCUCAACUAAUGUUUUGCACAAGUACCAUGAUUUCUGGGAAGGCUGAGGAAAGAUCUCAGAAUAUCUGUUGAUGAACAGGGGCUUGACUUGAUAAGGUAGCAGAAUAUUGGGUAAUAUUGGUGCAGUAAUUUGCUUCUCAUUAAUGGCAGAAUUGUAAGCUUUAUCUCUACACAGGGAACCAAAAUAAUCUAACUCAAGAUGAGGCGUCGGCCUCAGAUGAAUGAAUGAUGCAGGUCUUAUUCAAUGGUGUCUGUUUUGCCUUUUGUGCCAUUUUUAUAAGUAUGUUAGUAAUUGCAUCUUUUCUUACAAACCCAAUUAAGAGAGUUCAUUUAUAUUGAAUGCUUUCAUUA